GGGCGCAGCGCGGCGGCGAUGGGCGGCGGAGCACGGGAGCUGGCGGGGUACCUGGCGGCGCUGGGCGGGUGGGUGGCGGCUCUGGCGGCCGCGGCUCUGCCCCAGUGGAGACAGAGCUCGUACGCCGGAGACGCCAUCAUCACGGCUGUGGGGCUGCACGAAGGGCUGUGGAUGAGCUGCGCCGCGCAGAGCACCGGGCAGGUGCAGUGCCGCCUCCACGACUCGCUGCUCUCCCUCGACGUUCACAUCCAGACCUCCCGGGCUCUCAUGGUUAUUUCUCUCCUCUUGGGUUUCUUUGGCAUCAUCGUGAGCGUCGUGGGCAUGAAAUGCACCAAGGUUGGUGAAGAGGAUCCCAUCACCAAGAGCCGCAUUGCUGUUGCUGGAGGUGUCCUCUUCAUCCUCUGCGGUCUGUGCACGUUAGCGGCCGUCUCCUUGUACGCCACACAGGUCACCUACGAGUUCUUCAGUGCCAGCACUCCAAUCAACGCCAGGUACGAGUUUGGCUCAGCGCUGUUUGUCGGCUGGGGGGCUGCCAGCCUCACCGUGCUGGGGGGCUCCCUGCUGUGCUGCUCCUGCCCCGCCAAGGAGCGCCAAGGACAGCAGUACUACCGACAGUCGCAGCCAUCCACAGCCCGGGAGUACGUCUGACCCCAGCCCUGCCUUCCCGCGCCCUCCCCUCCCAAGAGCAGGCACGGCCCCAGUGUUCCCACAGGGCACAGCUCACGGGCACCACCAGAGACUUUUCUUCUGCUGGGGAUGCACCUGCUUCUCAGGCGCUUUUCCAGGUUGCAGCACAAGCCUCUAAAAUGGGCUGUUGGUCAGAAUUCCCUGUAUCCAGCAGCAUCAGGCUGCAGGGGCUGCAUCUCCGCCCCCAGCCCUGCGCUGCUGGGGCUGUGGGUGGCUGGGCCAUGCCCCAGUGCCUAGCAUGAGGUGCUGGGGGUGGGCUGCACAGAGGCGCUUUGUGCUGGGCCACCCUACCAUGUGCAGCUGUCCCCGUGUGCCCCUACAUCUCCUGCAGCCUCACCACCGGGUUUUCCAGGGAAAGGGAUGCUGCCAAGCGGUGCUGGAGGAGCUCAGUGUCCCCGUGCCCCAGUUUUGGUGGCUUAGGAAACAUUCUUGCUUUCAGGGUGCAGGUGUGCUCUGCGUGGCUGCUGCCCCAAAGCAAUAUUUGUAUUAAUCGUUCUUGAUGUGAGCACACGAGGAAUGAAAGCACGGCAGUUUGACGGUUGCUGGCACUCCAGCUGAGCUCUGCCAGCUAAAGUCUGACCCGGGCAUAUUUCUCACCAGGCGCAAAUAUGUGGCCUUGUUAAGCAGGAGAACCAACUGGUGUUGGCCAGGUUAAAGUAGGCGAAAUGGGGACUGUGAGCACAAGCAAUGGUUUGUUUUUUACUUUGGUGCCCAGUGUCGCUGUUUCAGUUAACUCCAAGAUGGACAAACCUGUGAAUGUUGAUGUCUCCCCUCUGUUUCCAAGUGCCCUUUCCCCAAUAGGAUCGGUGAAGUCUUUUAAGCUCAGCAGUGCUAAUUGCCACCACCUCUGUGUCCACGCCGUGGCUGUUACUAACACACCAGUGCUCCAGUUCCUCCUGUAGAUCCUCUGAAGGCCGUGUGCUGCCAUCUGUCUGUCUGCUACCCCAUGUAAAAAUAUCGUCAGCCAUCAGGGGAGAGCAGUGCUUGUAGUGUCUGCACCGUCAGGGAGAUUGGUGCUUGGUUUCCCCUCAAAACACACCUCAAAGCUACUGCAGUGAGGAUUGGGAAGGAAAAUCGUGCUUAAAAAUAUAUGUAUCUGAAGUGUGUUUUUAUAUAAAGAGCGCAGAGUUGUGUAGAAGAAUGUUUUUAUUCUUUUAGUGUAAACCUGCAUUAACUUUUCUGUGUGAUGUACGCCGUGGGAGCAGCACUGUUUGGGAUUCCUAUUUUUGUGGGUUUUUUUCAGAUAGUUUGUACUAAAAGUUGUGACUCAAUGGUAUUAAAAUAUUUCUGAUUA